GAUGAACGCUGGCGGCGUACCUAAUACAUGCAAGUCGAGCGAACAGACGAGGAUCUUGCUCCACUGACGUUGCCAACGGACGGGUGACUAACGCGUAGAUUACCUACCUCUAUGGCUUGAGUAACUUCGGGAAACCGGAGCUACUACCAGGUAAUAUAUUUACCCGCUGGGUGCAGUAGUGAAUGGCGGGUUUGCUGUCGAUUCUAGAUGGAUCCGCGCCGCAUUAGCGUGUUGGUAAGGUAACGGCUUACCAGGGCGACGAUGGGUAGCCGACGUGAGAGGGUGAACGGCGCCACUGGAACUGAGACACGGUCCUGACUCCUACGGGAGGCAGCAGUAGGUAAGCUUCCGCAAUGGGCGGAAGCCUGACGGAGCAACGGCGCGUGAGUGAUGAAGGGCUUCGUAUCGUAAAACUCUGUUAUUGGUGAAGAACAAAUGUGUAAGUAACGAUGCACGUCUUGACGGUACCUAAUAAGAAAGCAACGGCUAACUACGUG
rnacentral:rRNA from 1 species